rnacentral:rRNA from 1 species
UACGUAGGGGGCAAGCGUUGUCCGGAAUUAUUGGGCGUAAAGGGCUCGUAGGCGGUUUCUUAAGUCUGAUGUGAAAGCCCACAGCUCAACUGUGGAGGGUCAUUGGAAACUGGGGAACUUGAGUGCAGAAGAGGAGAGUGGAAUUCCACGUGUAGCGGUGAAAUGCGUAGAUAUGUGGAGGAACACCAGUGGCGAAGGCGGGUCUCUGGACAGUUCCUGACACUGAGGCACGAAGGCCAGGGGAGCAAACGGG